GGGCAGGUGUCCUAUUCGAAUGGCAAUAUCCAAUCGAUCGUUCACUAGAUCCGCAAAUCCGUCGCCGAGUACCAAAUCUAUUUCGACGCCUGGCCAACGCUGCAUAAACGAAGCGGCAAUUGGAANNNNNNCUGAUGCGCCUACACGCAACCGGCCCGCGGUCGCUUCGCCGUGCUGCUCUGCUUCGGCUCGCGCAAGAUCAAUAUCCGCGAGCGCCGCCUUUAGCUUUGCAUGAAAGA
rnacentral:misc_RNA from 1 species